UUCGGUACGAGAUACGAAGCGUAAAGGUCAAAGGUACAGGUAAAAAUGCUCGGGAGUUGGGAGGGUGAGAAAGUCUGUAAGGAAGUGGCGUCUGAGCAGGUCUAGAUGGAUGGAUGUGGUUGGGAUAUGCAGGGAUAGGGAGGAGGAGCCAGCCUGAGUGAAGGUAGAGCCUCAACCAAAGGCAGAGUCAGGGUGUGAUACAGUUCGAUCUAGCAUGUAGCAGGAAAGUAAAUGCAGCCAAGCUAGAACAGCUUAUGCUCCCCCUUCAGCAAAUCAGACGGUGGUUACUACUACCACUUCAAAAUCAGAAGGAUUGUUUCCCCUUUUUCCACACCCAGUCUACUUUGCAUGUAACUUACCCUUCCCUGGCCCCAUAGAACAUUACAUCUGCUGUGACCUUCAGCUUACAGACCAAAAGAAUGAAUAAUGAAAGCAAACUAAAAUGUUUUCACUAGAUUGGUUUGAGAAAGCUAGAGGAAUUUUCACUCUUGACAAUCAGGCUUUAGAAUUGGAAAUUUGACAGAACAAGAGCCUCCUCUUAAAAUGGAGGUGAUGGCGGUGGCGCUGAUUUUCUAAAGACUUUAACUUCUAGAUUAUGAAAGGAAAGCAUGUUUUUGCCAAUCUGGGCCUUAGUUACAUCUGAAUAUAUACGUUGAAGGUAGGACACAUCCUCAGAGGUCAUCUAGUCCAAUCUCUCUCCUAAACAGAGUCCACUCUGUAGCACCCCAGCUGAUAGAUAAUGCAGCGUACACUUCAGUGCUCCAAGGGAAGAGAGGUCACUAUUUCAAAAGGCAGGCACAUCCACUGAGGUAAAACUUUGUUUGGAAUUCUUCUGUUUAGACUAAAAAUCACACUCACUGGAGCUUAAAAUGGAGCAAUACAGGAGUAGUCUUCCAUCUUUUUCAUGACAGCCCUUCAAAUAUUAGGUUGCAGUCUUCAUUACCCACUAAGUCUUCUCUGUUCACGUUAAACAUACUCCGUUCCUUUGAACAUCCCUUCUAUGCUGAUGUACAGUGGACCUUUCUGUGAUGAUGGAAAUGUUCUACAACCAUACUGUUCAGUAUAGUAGCCACUGUGAAUUGAGCAUUUGAAAUGUUGCUACUGUGACUGAGGAGCUGAAUUUUUUAAGUUGUAGUUCAGAUGUGGCUAGUGGUUACCGUAUACAAGCCACAACCUUGUAUUUUUAAAUGCAUUCUCCCUGUUGAUCAUUUACUUUUUUACAUGCAUUUGAGCUUCCACCAAAUGUCUAGCGCCUGCAAUUCAAUACUAACCAAUACAGCCUUAGGGAUGACUGUUUGCACCUGGACAGUAUUUCUAUUAAUGCUUUCCAGAUGGAAUUUUUUUUUAAAUAUCCAGAGUAUAUGUGGUUCAUAAUGAUAAUCACUGGAACUAGUAUUUUGUCAGCAGUCGUAGUGCCUAAACUUGUAUCACUGCAUUUUUUAACCUAAACAUAAGACUUGACAUUUCAGCUUUUUGGCUUAGGCCCAGAAGUUGGGGUACUCCAGUUUAUCAUUUUCAAACUUGUUUCAAUAUAAUUUACCAACCAGCCAACUUUGUGUCAUUUAUAGAUUUGGCAUUACACCAUGUGACCCAUACGUAGUCCUUUACAAUUUACAAGGUACUUUUCAUCUGUUAUAUUUAAUUUGAUCCUUACAACAACCUUGUGAGGUAGGUAAGAUAUGAAAUCUACAUUUUAUAGAUAACGCAGCUGAAUGAAGCAUAGCAGGAUCUGAAUGGAUGACGUCCUUUUUCUACUCCAUUGAACAUCUUCUUGUACAUUCUCUUCAGCCAUAUCAUUGAUAGAAAUGAUGAAGAGGACCUCCAGAGGCCAAGCUGACUCUGAAUUCUUAAAUAGCACUGACUGAUACAACAGUUUAAACAGGGGAGGGGUCAAUGAAAUUGAACCUUCUGUGACACUUCAGGAGAGGACAGAGCACAGCACUUUCAUAGAAUACUCCUAUCAUGUUUGCUGAAAUUUAAUUGCAAAGAGAUAAAGAAACUGGUACCUGAACCUAAGGUUGGUAGCAAUUCAGAAUUCUCAGCCCAUACAUGGGAAUUAAAAGUCCUGCUUUCUGUUAAGACCCAGAGUUAAUCUCCCAGAAUUUUCUCCUAACCUUUGCUUCCGGCCAAGAGCAGUUACCAAAUUAAUUCCCACACACUUCUCAUGUGGAGCCAGUCAUCAUCCCUGACAGCUCUUCUGUUCUACACCCUUGAAAGUCCUAGCCAAUGAGCUGAAUGAUACAUAGCUGACAUUCACAUUAUUGCUGAGCUAAUGAAGUAAGCAGUACCCCAACUAUCUCUUGGAACUCUCCAGUUUGAAGCUCCUUAUUCAUCUUAAGUCUUGAAUCCCCUUGGAGAAAGAGAUACAGUGUAAUAGCUUCCAUCUUAAAAAGUGUAAACAAUAUAACCAUUUUCAUGUGCCCUCAAGCUCUUUAAACUGUAAUUCUACUUAUGAAAUCUGCACAGAGUAGGAAUUGGUAUAGCCUACGAAAGUGGGGGUUGAAAAACCGCAGCCAGACUGACUAUGAAUCGCCUACUUUGGGGAUUGAGUUCACUUAGUUAUUUUAUAAGCAACUUUGAAAUCAGGUAAUUUUCCCACUGGCCCUUUGUUCGAGGGGAAAAUGCUUCUUUACAUAAUUUUGACUUCGCAAAAACUGUAAGGAGAGAGGAAUUGGGAUUUCAAGGUCUUUAGCAAACGUGCUCCCUGCGACCGCUCGAGGCAAGGCAACGGAAGUCGGAGGGACUUUGCAACAGCUGCAAGAGUUUCACUCCGCCCGGAGAGCGGUAGUGUGAGCGAGGCUACCCCAACUCCGGUGCCGUCCGACAGCCAGACGUGCGCCAAUGCCUGCUGAACCCCGAGGCCCACCUAGCUGGACCCCUGACAGAUCCCACCUGUUCCCCUUCUUUCCCUACGCCUUGGCCCGUCGGGGGCUCAGCGCCAAAGAGCACGGCGUGGACACGAAGAACCCUCUCCUAGCCCAUGCUCACCCUUAGUCAGCGUGUCCAGCACCCCCGACUUCUCCAAGUACCUCCGGAACUGCUCGCGCUUCGAGUCGGCGGCCUGAGGAGACACGGCGGGUCAGUGGCCAAAGCCCAGGGGCCGGAGCAGGAAGAAGGCGCUGGGAGUCCGGCAACCCCGCCUCCGCCUCGCUACCUCAGGCCCCCAAAACCUGCGCGCGCGCCCCCAUUCCCACCCUCAGCCGACCAGCGGCUGGCUACCGCCCGCACGCCCCCAGCCACGCCGCGCCCCCCUCACUUUGUAAUGGGCCAUAGUGACAGCGGCAGCGGCGUAGCUGGCGCCCGAGACCGUGGCUGGCGGGCUCUGAGCCGCACUGCUCAUGCGCGGAAGGGCGCGCGCGCCUGCGUACUUGCGGACCACGGGCCGAGAUCGCAGGGGUGUGGCCUGUUUUCAUGACGACCAGGACGCUGUGAGUGCCCCAUAGUGGGCUAAGCCGAGGGAGGCUGCGUACGCCCGCCUCUCUGCUCCCAGAGCAGCACCUCUCCUUCCUCUUCCGGUCCUUGCCGGGAUUCGGUUGCUUAGCGAGAGGCGAGGUUUUGGUAACUCCGGACUGGUGUCCAGGUGGGGCCAAAGAUGGGCGUGGCUUGCGGAGGCCGGUAGCGCUGGGACUGGAGCCGGGUGGGAUCUUCGGACACCCGUCUGGAGCAGACCUGGCUCAGCUGGGACCUCAUUAGGUGUGGCAACCUAUACAAGCCGGUUUCUUGGCUCUCAUGCUGAAAAGGUGCCACACCCAACAUGGUGCUCGAAUUCACAACCCUGAGAUCAAGAGUCACAUGCUCUACCCACUGAGCCAGCCAGACUUGCCGGCAAGUAUUCUUAAGAGGAAAAGUGGAAAGAAGUUUCCUGCAUCCUGACUGUAUCUGGGGAACUGGAAAGACAGCAAGGAGUUGGACAAAAAGCAUGGAUAGAGUCUAAUCUAGACUUGAACUCUGGAUCCAUUGUUUAUCAGCCAUGUGACCUUAGGCUUAGCCUGUUUGUAUCUCCCAGUGUCUCCAUUUCCUUAUCCGUAAAAUGGGAAUAGUAAUAAUGUAACCGGGAUAAGACAAUGCAUUUAAAAGCCCUUAGCCUGAGGCCAGGCAGAGUUGGUUUUAGGAACUGGUAGUUUCCAUCACUUGCUCAGUGUGUCUGCAAAUUCAGAAACACCGCAGGGGAGCCUGCCCGGGAGCUUCAUCUCCCUUCCCUGGAGUCCCAGCCCUGGUUCGGUGUUCUUACCUCAGACCCGAGGGAGGCCCCUUCCCCAUCCCGCCGCAUCCCCACCCCUUCUGAGCCUCCCUCUCCCUUCUUCACCUCCCCCUUCUCUACCCAUUCUGAGUGUACGCGUCUGCCUACGUGCUUUCAAGAUCAGGGGUUUUCUUAGACAUCUUUACAGACCUAUGGAGAGGGGGAGGUGGCGGUGGGAGGUUCGGCGCAGGAACGCGCGAGGGGAAGGGGGAGCGGUGUGCUAAAGAAGAAAGGAAGAGCACUGGUGUUUAUUAAGGACCCACUGCCUGCCAGGCACCGGCUUGGUGCCUGACCAGCUCCCUUUCAUGCCAUCCUCAUGACAAUACCACUCUACAGGGGCUCCUGGGUAGCUCAGCCGUGGAGCGUCUGCCUUCAGCUCAGGUCACAAUCCCCGGAUCCUGGGAUUGAGCCCAGCACGAGCUCCCGGAUCCCGGGGAAGCCCGCUUCUCCCUCUCCCGUUUCCUCUGCUGGUGUUCCCUCUCUCACUGUGCCUCCCUCUGUCAAAUAAAUAAAUAAAAUCUUUUAAAAAAUAAAUAAAUAAAACACUCUACAGAUGAGGGAAUGGGGGCUCAGAAA